UACGAAGGGGGCUAGCGUUGUUCGGAAUCACUGGGCGUAAAGCGUACGUAGACGGCCACGCAGGUCGGGUGUGAAAGCCCCGGGCUCAACCCGGGAAUUGCAUUCGAAACCAUGUGGCUCGAGUGUGGGAGAGGGUAGUGGAAUUCCUGGUGUAGAGGUGAAAUUCGUAGAUAUCAGGAGGAACACCGGCGGCGAAGGCGGCUACCUGGUCCACAACUGACGUUCAGGUACGAAAGCGUGGGGAGCAAACAGG
rnacentral:rRNA from 1 species